rfam:Solanum tuberosum cultivar DM 1-3 516 R44 scf00276_45, whole genome shotgun sequence.
AAACCCAGAAAAGCAACGAACAGGAUCCUUUAGUUCGUCGCUUUUCUGGAUUUUG